rnacentral:rRNA from 1 species
AUUGAACGCUGGCGGCAGGCCUAACACAUGCAAGUCGAACGAGUGGCGGACGGGUGAGUAAUGUCUGGGAAACUGCCCGAUGGAGGGGGAUAACUACUGGAAACGGUAGCUAAUACCGCCAACCAUAGGGUGUGCCAAGAUGGGAUUAGCUAGGAGGUGGGGUAAAGGCUCACCUAGGCGACGAUCCCUAGCUGGUCUGAGCGGAGGCACAGCCACACUGGAACUGAGACACGGUCCAGACUCCUACGGGAGGCCGCAGUGGGGAAUAUUGCACAAUGGGCGCAAGCCUGAUGCAGCCAUGCCGCGUGUAUGAAGAAGGCCUUCGGGUUGUAAAGUACUUUCAGCGAGGAGGCGUUACUCGCAGAAGAAGCACCGGCUAACUCCGUGCCAGCCGCCGCGGUAAUAC